rnacentral:rRNA from 1 species
UACGGAGGGUGCAAGCGUUAUCCGGAUUCACUGGGUUUAAAGGGUGCGUAGGCGGGUUUGUAAGUCAGUGGUGAAAUCCUGGAGCUUAACUCCAGAACUGCCGUUGAUACUACAGGUCUUGAAUACUCGGGAGGUGAGCGGAAUAUGUCAUGUAGCGGUGAAAUGCUUAGAUAUGACAUAGAACACCGAUUGCGAAGGCAGCUCACUACAGAGUCAUUGACGCUGAGGCACGAAAGCGUGGGGAUCAAACAGGAUUAGAAACCCCCGUAGUCC